GGGAGGUAGUGACAAUAAAUAACAAUACGGGGCUCUUUCGGGUCUCGUAAUUGGAAUGAGUACAAUUUAAAUCUCUUAACGAGGAACAAUUGGAGGGCAAGUCUGGUGCCAGCAGCCGCGGUAAUUCCAGCUCCAAUAGCGUAUAUUAAAGUUGUUGCAGUUAAAAAGCUCGUAGUUGAAUUUCGGGAUCAGCAGGUUGGUCGUGCCACUGGUAUGCACUGGCUUUGCUGGUUCCUCCUUUCUGAAGAACUGUAAUGCCAUUAAUUUGGUGUUGCAGGGAAACAGGACUGUUACUUUGAAAAAUUAGAGUGUUUAAAGCAGGCCAACGCCUGAAUACAUUAGCAUGGAAUAAUGAAAUAGGACGUUCGAACCUAUUUUGUUGGUUUCUAGGAUUGACGUAAUGAUUAAUAGGGAUAGUUGGG
rnacentral:rRNA from 1 species